AGGUAAGCUACUAAGAGCGAAUGGUGGAUGCCUUGACUGGUAAAGGCGAUGAAGGACGUACUAGACUGCGAUAAGCUACGGGGAGCUGUCAAGAAGCUUUGAUCCGUAGAUUUCCGAAUGGGGCAACCCAAUGUAUAGAGAUAUACAUUACCUAUAUAGGAGCGAACGAGGGGAAUUGAAACAUCUUAGUACCCUCAGGAAAAGAAAUCAAUAGAGAUUGCGUCAGUAGCGGCGAGCGAAAGCGCAAGAGGGCAAACCCAGUGCUUGCACUGGGGGUUGUAGGACUGCAAUGUGCAAGAGCUGAGUUUAGCAGAACAUUCUGGAAAGUAUAGCCAUAGAGGGUGAUAGUCCCGUAUGCGAAAAACAAAGCUUAGCUAGCAGUAUCCUGAGUAGGGCGGGACACGAGGAAUCCUGUCUGAAUCCGGGUCGACCACGAUCCAACCCUAAAUACUAAUACCAGAUCGAUAGUGCACAAGUACCGUGAGGGAAAGGUGAAAAGAACUGAGGUGAUCAGAGUGAAAUAGAACCUGAAACCAUUUGCUUACAAUCAUUCAGAGCACUAUGUAGCAAUACAGUGUGAUGGACUGCCUUUUGCAUAAUGAGCCUGCGAGUUGUGGUGUCUGGCAAGGUUAAGCAAACGCGAAGCCGUAGCGAAAGCGAGUCUGAAUAGGGCGCUUAGUCAGAUGCUGCAGACCCGAAACGAAGUGAUCUAUCCAUGAGCAAGUUGAAGCUAGUGUAAGAACUAGUGGAGGACUGAACCCAUAGGCGUUGAAAAGCCCCGGGAUGACUUGUGGAUAGGGGUGAAAGGCCAAUCAAACUUCGUGAUAGCUGGUUCUCUCCGAAAUAUAUUUAGGUAUAGCGUUGUGUCGUAAUAUAAGGGGGUAGAGCACUGAAUGGGCUAGGGCAUACACCAAUGUACCAAACCCUAUCAAACUCCGAAUACCUUAUAUGUAAUCACAGCAGUCAGGCGGCGAGUGAUAAAAUCCGUCGUCAAGAGGGAAACAACCCAGACUACCAGCUAAGGUCCCUAAAUCUUACUUAAGUGGAAAACGAUGUGAAGUUACUUAAACAACCAGGAGGUUGGCUUAGAAGCAGCCAUCCUUUAAAGAAAGCGUAAUAGCUCACUGGUCUAGUGAUUUUGCGCGGAAAAUAUAACGGGGCUAAAGUAAGUACCGAAGCUGUAGACUUAGUUUACUAAGUGGUAGGAGAGCGUUCUAUUUGCGUCGAAGGUAUACCGGUAAGGAGUGCUGGAGCGAAUAGAAGUGAGCAUGCAGGCAUGAGUAGCGAUAAUUAAUGUGAGAAUCAUUAACGCCGUAAACCCAAGGUUUCCUACGCGAUGCUCGUCAUCGUAGGGUUAGUCGGGUCCUAAGUCGAGUCCGAAAGGGGU
rnacentral:rRNA from 1 species